GGUGAGUAACACGUGGGUAACCUACCUAUAAGACUGGAAUAACUCCGGGAAACCGGGGCUAAUGCCGGAUAAUAUGCGGAACCGCAUGGUUCCGCAAUGAAAGACGGUUUUGCUGUCACUUAUAGAUGGACCCGCGCCGUAUUAGCUAGUUGGUAAGGUAACGGCUUACCAAGGCAACGAUACGUAGCCGACCUGAGAGGGUGAUCGGCCACACUGGAACUGAGACACGGUCCAGACUCCUACGGGAGGCAGCAGUAGGGAAUCUUCCGCAAUGGGCGAAAGCCUGACGGAGCAACGCCGCGUGAGUGAUGAAGGUCUUCGGAUCGUAAAACUCUGUUAUUAGGGAAGAACAAGUGCGUAGGUAACUAUGCGCACCUUGACGGUACCUAAUCAGAAAGCCACGGCUAACUACGUGCCAGCAGCCGCGGUAAUACGUAGGUGGCAAGCGUUAUCCGGAAUUAUUGGGCGUAAAGCGCGCGUAGGCGGUUUUUUAAGUCUGAUGUGAAAGCCCACGGCUCAACCGUGGAGGGUCAUUGGAAACUGGAAAACUUGAGUGCAGAAGAGGAAAGUGGAAUUCCAUGUGUAGCGGUGAAAUGCGCAGAGAUAUGGAGGAACACCAGUGGCGAAGGCGACUUUCUGGUCUGCAACUGACGCUGAUGUGCGAAAGCGUGGGGAUCAAACAGGAUUAGAUACCCUGGUAGUCCACGCCGUANCGAUGAGUGCUAAGUGUUAGGGGGUUUCCGCCCCUUAGUGCUGCAGCUAACGCAUUAAGCACUCCGCCUGGGGAGUACGGCCGCAAGGCUGAAACUCAAAGGAAUUGANGGGGACCCGCACAAGCGGUGG
rnacentral:rRNA from 1 species